CCCUGAACCCGCCACCUUGUUCCCAGCAGCUAGAGCCCUGUCGAGCAUUAACUGUGUAGAGGUGUUGGACUCAAGUUUACUCUAGCAGACCUGACCUCCGAGACCAGCCUUGGGCAUCAGUAGACUGGGAGCUAUACAUGGACGGGAGCAGCUUCAUCAACCCACAAGGAGAGAGAUGUGCAGGAUAUGCAGUGAUAACCCUGGACACUGUCGUUAAGCUGAGCUCAUUGCUUUAAUUCAGGCCUUAGAACUCAGUGAAGAUCCAUCACAGUCAGCUAACACUGGCAGCUCAGGACAAGUAGACCAGCCAGCAGGACACAGAUCUUCCUACCCGGCUGAUUCGGAGACGAGACCAAGCUGUUGCUGAGGACGACAGCCCUGCUCUGGUCACUCCGGAGGCUGACCAGUCUACACACGGCUGAAGCUUGAAGAAACAACAAGCCCGGCUCUAGUCACGCACUGGCAGCUGAAUAGUCUACGCAUGGCCGAAGCUUGAGGACUUGUCAAGCAAGUAAACGUAGUUAAAAAUCUUAAGACUAAUAGUUUUCCUGUAAUACUGUUUUCCUAUUGUUCUGUCACUGUAUUCAAUCUUUUUCCCAGGUAAGGACCUCUUUUGUCCUUGCUGGAUACAAAUAUGCUGUAUAUUGUUUUGUUAUUGUUACCCCCCAUAACCAUGCUAGAAGAAACACCUAUAUAAGGUGUCCCCAUUGUACACAUACUACUUAGUCAGGAAACCCAGACCCGUCCAGCCCAGCAACAAUUCCGAGUCU
rnacentral:lncRNA from 1 species